GCUCCCAUGGUGUAAUGGACAGCACGACAGGUUCCGGUCCUGUUGGUGAGGGUUCGAAUCCUUCUGGGAGUACUA
rnacentral:tRNA from 1 species